GUCCAGCAUCUCCAACUCGCGGAGGACACUGCAGAACAGCAAGAAUGUCAUCAACCAUCUGCCCCUGCCGGAUCCGUCUCCUCAUUUUCGUCCUCAGUUUAUUGGCACUCCUAUGUAGAAGCAGCUUUGUUGCAGCCCUGGCAUGGAUCCGCACAACCAUUGUCCAUCAUCGUGCAAUCCAUACUCACCUUCUUGUCAUUAGCAUCUGAGAGCCUGGGAGGCAGGAGCUCGUCCUGAUUCUAUACACAAUGCAUAAAAUUUGAGUAGACUAUCUGGUUGUUUUCUUUGAUCUGUUAAUGCUGGUACAUUUCAACGAGAUUGCAUUUUCCAUAUCUGUAAAGUUGAUCAAAUCAAGUAGGCUAUAUUUUUCUUGUAAUAAGAAUUAGUAUAUCAAGGACUUUUGAUCAAAUUUCAUACUUACGUAUGAAUGUAUAACAGUGCAUUUGUUUGAUGGAUUAGUCCAUUCGGUCGCU